rnacentral:rRNA from 1 species
GAUGAACGCUAGCGGCAGGCUUAAUACAUGCAAGUCGUGGGGCAGCAGGUCUGUAGCAAUACAGAUGCUGGCGACCGGCAAACGGGUGCGGAACACGUACACAACUUUCCUUUAAGUGGGGAAUAGCCCAGAGAAAUUUGGAUUAAUACCCCGUAACAUAGUGAAAAGGCAUCUUUUUAUUAUUAUAGCAGCAAUGCGCUUAAUGAUGGGUGUGCGUCUGAUUAGGUAGUUGGCGGAGUAAUAGCCCACCAAGCCUACGAUCAGUAACUGGUGUGAGAGCACGACCAGUAACACGGGAACUGAGACACGGGCCCGACUCCUACGGGAGGCAGCAGUAAGGAAUAUUGGGCAAUGGACGCAAGUCUGACCCAGCCAUGCCGCGUGGAGGAUGAAGGUCCUCUGGAUUGUAAACUUCUUUUAUCUGGGAAGAAAUCCAUCUUUUCUUGGGUGGUUGACGGUACCAGAUGAAUAAGCACCGGCUAACUCCGUGCCAGCAGCCGCCGUAA